AUUAUUUUUUAAUAGCGCAGUGUAAAAGCUAGCUAUAAGAAAAACUUAGCAUUAAGUAUAAUAAUUUAUAUUUACUAUUAUGACAAUAAAAUUCUGUUACCAUUUGAUAAUGUUAUUAUAAGUAGUAUUAAUAUAUGUGUUAAAGGAACUCGGCAAAGAACUACUCAACUGUUUAUCAAAAACAUAGCUGUGUGUAUUAAUACACAGUAAUUUCUGCUCCAUGCUUAGUAAAUAGCCGCAGUACUCUGACUGUGCAAAGGUAGCAUAAUCAGUUGGCUUUUAAUUAAAGUCUGGUAUGAAUGAAAAUAUGGGUAGUAACUGUCUUAGCAUACUUAUUUGAAAUUACUGAGCAAGUGCAAAUACCUGCAACUAAAAUAAUAGACGAGAAGACCCUAGAAACUUGAGCUAGUUUUUGUUGGGGCGACAAAAUUACAGUUAACUAAUUUUAUAAUACAUGACGCAAAGUAGAAAGAAUAAGUUACUCUAGGGAUAACAGCAUAAUUUUUAAGUUUGUGACCUCGAUGUUGGACUAGGUACUGCACCCUUAAGACAGGGGUGUAUUAUGCUCUGUUCGAGCAGAUUUACCUACAUGAUCUGAGUUCAGACCGG
rnacentral:rRNA from 1 species